AGAUUUUUCAGUUUAAGCCUAGCGCUCAGCUCUUCACACAGUCAGACUGAGAGUGUGUGGGAUUGUGUGGGAGAUUCCUCAGGUUUAGCCUAGCGCUCAGCUCUUCACAUAGUCAGACUGAGAGUGUGUGGGAUUGUGUGGGAGAUUUCUCAGGUUUAGCCUAGCACUCAGCUCUUCACAGUCAGACUGAGAGAAGGGGUGUGUGGGAGAUUUCUCAGGUUUAGCCUAGCGCUCAGCUCUUCACACAGUCAGACUGAGAGUAGGGGUGUG